rnacentral:lncRNA from 1 species
ACAGAGCGAGACUCCGUCUCAAAAAAAAAAAAAGUUAUUGUUUUUAUAUUGUUAUUGUCCCUGGGAAUCUUUGCUAUCGGUGUACUGUGUACUUCCUGCCUACCUCUGAGUUUGUAAAGUAGGUAAAAGAGCAGAUGUGAUUGCUAAGAAUAUAGCAUUGACCUCUAUGUAAAAUUUAUAGGUUCUCACACAGAGUGCUGAGGCUUUUGAUCAGCAUCUUUGAAAGUAUUGCUUGUAUACAUUUCAAGUAAAAGAUCAUUCUAAUUAUUUCAUAGUCAUACUUUACAUGAAAGAGCUUUGUAAAUAAUUGGAAAAUCUUUAACAAGCUUUGAUUAAUAAUGCUGGCUUUAAUUUUAACUUCAUAUUAUUGUUUUCCAAAUGAUUUCCAUAAUAGAGACCAUGGUGGAUCUAAGCAUGAGAUUUUAAGUUCCUGCCUUUCAAAGGUGUGGCUAAAAACAAGGAGGAUAGAAAACACUGUGUGCUGUCAUGCCAAGCUCUCUGUGUAGGGACUUUAUCUUCACCAUUGCAUUUCAUCCUCAAAACAGCCCUGCAAGGUAAGUAUCUGUAUUUUAUAGAUGGGAAAAACUAAGAUUCAGAAAGUUUACAUAACUACAAAUCUGGUAAGAACUAGAGCCGAGAUCCAUUUCCUGCUCUGUCUUUUCUCACAGUUGUUGCUACAAGGCCACUGAGCUGACUCACCACCCCGGGAGUCAGUGAAGGCUUCCCCGAGGAAGCAGUGUUUGAGCUGAGCCUUGAAACAGAAGUAAGAAGACUCCAGGAGAAGGCUGCAGUAGAGGCUAGAGCUAUUUUUCCUGGCAACAGACCCAGAGAGAAGCUCAACACUUGGAGUAUGAAAGGAGAGUUGGAAAGAAAUCAACUGUGGAAUAACUGCGUGAGUCAUAGUCCAUGUUCUCCUUCCCUGCAUCACAUGCUCAGGCUAAAACCAGAGGACUAAUAUUUAAAAUAAUUGAAUAGUCUUCGUGAGAAGGAGCCCUAGUUGGGGUGAUGCCUCAUCUGAGUAAACUUCUUCCCACUUUUGCUGGGAAGUGGGAGAAGUAGGGAGGGGGACCUCCAACCUCCUCUUCUUUCACUACAAGGUCUAAAGCAAAGGCUGCCAGUGACAGCCACUUGUGUAGACAAGAGAGAGCUGGACAAGGCCGAGCUAUCUGCAUUGAAUGAGGUGACUUACCUCAGUUGUAGGUAUGAAUCUAUAGCCAAGGAUUAUGAAAACCUGAAGAAAAAUGAGGACAAAAGAGCAGGUUGAGAGAAAAAAUACCCUGACUCUGGAGGAAAUAGAUAAUUCAGGACAUAGAAAAUUCUUUAUUCUAUGUAGUAUCCUCAUGGAAACAAAGUCGAGAGAAAGCAUUUUUAGUGCAAAAUUAGAUUGCUAAGAAAGAACAACUAAAACAAAAUAAAUAGUUAUUAAAAUGAAAAAGUAAUUGUUAAAGUUAGAAAUUCAAGGGAAGACCUGGGAGAAAAAGUUGAAGAAACUGCUCUAAAUGUAGUGCAAAAAGAUAAAGGAUGGAAAAUGUGGGAGAAAAGUGAAGAGAUUAGAGAAGCAUCCAAAGGGAUGUUCAGAAAGAGACAAAACAAAGAAUAAGAGAGAAUUUUCCAUAAGUGAGGAAAUAGGACUUGAGAUUGUAAGAACCCUAGAGAAUGCAAAAUAGGAUGAAUGAACAAACUUAGCCCAAGGCACAUUCUUGUGACAUUUUAGAUAUUGAGAAUAAAGGGAAGAGUCUAAAAGCCAAAAGAAUAGAUUACUCAGUGAGAAUCCAAUUGGUAUUAGAUAGAUCAUCAGCAACUGUAAAUGCUAAGAAAAACAAAACAAGAAGCAUGCCUUCAAAAUGUGUAAAAUAAAGUUUUUUGAACCUAAAAUUCUCUACUUAGCCAAACUAUCAAUCGAUCAAGAGUGAGGCAUUUUCAAGCAUGCAAGAACUCAGACCAUUUACCACCCACAGACUAUUUCUGAAAGAAUUACUGAAGCAAAACAAAAAAGAAUCCAAGUAGGAGGAAGCCAUGGCCUCUAAGGAACAGUGGAUCUCACCCAAGAUUGUAAUGAAAUAUAAUUCCAGGAUGACAACCUUGAGGCAGGCCUAGAAAGCCAUCAGUCUGAAUUAGAACCAGAAGUCAGAUGCUCUGUGAAGAAUCUCUUUCAGGAGGACAUGGAUUUCUUCUAUAAAUUGAAUGACUGAGAAGCUGAGUGGUCUUGUGACAAGGCAAAGGCAUGGUAGGUCAUUGUGAUAAGGUAUCAUCCAAACACUCUCCAAACUGUGAAGUAAUUUUCUUCUUCCAAUAGCAAAGGUUUAUUGACAAGAGUUACGUCUCCUCUAUAGGCUCAAGGGCACAGCUGUGCUUGGUUCUGCAGUGAACAAUGAUCUCCCUACGAAUAUUAUGAAUGCUACUUUUCAGUUUUCAGUUUAAAAAAUCAAUUUAUAGACAAUGCAUCAAAGAUUAAUUGUAGUUAUAGGACAAGUGUGAAAACAAUAGUACACUGGAAUGGAGGUUAGGAGAGAGGGAAGGAGCAAAGGAACAAGAUGUAAUGAUGUUGGAUUCUUUUCAUCAGAAAUAAAAAGAAUUAAGAGAUA